CCUGGUGUCUUUCGUGCCUCCCCAGCUGUGUGCAUGUAUGUUGGAUUCUACCUGCUCUGCUCGACCAUGACAAAGGGUGUGGAAUGAAUACAGAUCUACCUGGAAAAUCCCCAUGAGAAAGGUCACCGAGGAGGCCACCAGGACCCUCUGCUGGUCCUGGGUCAGGCCCUCAAAGCCAGUGAUGUUGGCAGGUGGUCCGACCUCUGGGACGAGGCGGGUCACCACCGCUCCCACCAUCAGGCUCAGGACUGGGAAGGAGCCUGCAGGAAGGUGUGUGUUGAGAUUUCUUUUCCGUGGACCCUGGAUGUUUCUCGAGGAUGUGCAGCAUGGCGUCAUGCAGGGUCAGAAGAACAUCGACGGCUUAACCUCGUCGUCAAAGAAGCAGCAGUCGUGCAGCUUCUGCAGGAUGUAGGCUGCAGGACAGAGAGAGGAUAUUCAUAACACCAAGGAUUGUAUCCGUCAUGCAUGUUAGCUAAUGUCUUUUUUAAAAGCUACUAGCUCCUCCAAGAAAUGUACCUUAAAUCAAUCGUUUCCAGUUAAAAUUGUUUGCAUUAAUUGCAAUUUGACACCAGAAAUGACCACAUAAGGAAUACAGAUGUAUAUGUUGAACUCCAUUGCUGGGCAGUAUCAAAAAAACAUAAGAAAUUUGGUGUAGAAAAGAUUUCGGAUCACAAAUUUGUGUGACAUUUCGUAAGGAACCGAUAAAGUGACGGGUGCAGUAACAACAUUUUUAGGAUUCAUUAGAAAUUCAUGAACAAACUGCACACAUUUAAAAAAAGAAAGUGUAAGUGUCUGCUAGAAGUGCAAUACUGCCAUUUAAUACUUACGAUCACAAGCCACAAUGUAGAUCUCAACUUCAACCCGAAUCAGCUCUUUCAGCGCCUGUGAAGAAGGUCAAGAGGGUUUCCUUUUUAAACGUCUUCAAAAGAGAAAAUAUUCUGCGCAUAUUCAGGUUCAUCUUAGUAUGUAGUGAGUCUACUGCUUUAAUGUUCAGAAAGCUCUAUAUGUUUCUCAUACUGCCUGUGCUGCUGCACCUCUUUUCCCCCUCUGUCUGAAACCAGAGCCCAGUCUGCUCCGAUUGGUUAGCUGACCGGCUCUGUUAGAGAUGUCCCGCCCCUCUAGCCUAUCACGUACAAUGUGUUGGAGCGCUAGCCAAUAGAGUGUUGCAUAGUGAUGUCUCUCACCGUUUUGAGUCCCUUCAGGGCGGAGAUGUCCAGGAAGGAGACGGCAGCAAAGUCCAGGAUCAGGCUGUGCAGAUCCACUCUGGGAACCAUGAUGUUUGCGGGAAGAUCGGCGUUCCAGUCGAUCCGGGCAGGAAGGUCUUUGAAGUCAGUCGGCAGGUCCAACUCCUCCAUGUUGCUCUCAUCCUCCGACUCCUUGAUAGGUCUACAGGAGGCGUUGAUGAAGCCUUUCUGUGAGGCGGGUUGAAUCCAACCUGAGGAGACAUCAGUGUAAAUGAGAUGUGAGCUUCCACCAGCUUCGUCCUGAAGAAGUCGAUGUUGGCAAAAAAGAUUGGCGACGGUAUCCUGAAGAUCUUCACUCCCUCUGGCUCGUAUAUCUGGAGAUAUCUGGGAUUUUAGCCUUUGCAGACCAUUUACAUGCACUAAAACCAAUAUAGGAAAUGGAAACCCCACAAAAAGCAUAA